UGGGGAAUAUUGCACAAUGGAGGGAACUCUGAUGCAGCGACGCCGCGUGAACGAAGAAGGCUUUCGAGUCGUAAAGUUCUUUUAUAUGGGAAGAUAAUGACGGUACCAUAAGAAAAAGCCCCGGCUAACUACGUGCCAGCAGCCGCGGUAAUACGUAGGGGGCUAGCGUUGUCCGGAAUCACUGGGCGUAAAGGGUUCGCAGGCGGAAAUGCAAGUCAGGUGUAAAAGGCAGUAGCUUAACUACUGUAAGCAUUUGAAACUGCAUAUCUUGAGAAGAGUAGAGGUAAGUGGAAUUUUUGUGUAGCGGUGAAAUGCGUAGAUAUUAAAAAGAAUACCGGUGGCGAAGGCGACUUACUGGGCUCAUUCUGACGCUGAGGAACGAAAGCGUGGGUAGCAAACAGG
rnacentral:rRNA from 1 species